AUACGGAGGGAGCGAGCGUUAAUCGGAAUUACUGGGCGUAAAGCGCGCGUAGGCGGCUUUGUAAGUCGGAUGUGAAAGCCCUGGGCUCAACCUGGGAAUGGCAUUCGAAACUGCAGAGCUAGAGUAUGGUAGAGGGAAGUGGAAUUUCCGGUGUAGCGGUGAAAUGCGUAGAUAUCGGAAGGAACACCAGUGGCGAAGGCGACUUCCUGGGCCAAUACUGACGCUGAGGUGCGAAAGCGUGGGGAGCAAACAGGAUUAGAUACCCCGGUAGUCC
rnacentral:rRNA from 1 species